GCUACAUUACAGCCCACUUUAAAGAUAUCCAGUUGAUCUCAUUGUGUGCUGUGCUCUCGGUGUUGACAUGUUUGAUUGUGUAUACCCAACAAGAACAGCGAGAUUUGGAAGAGCACUUGUUUCUACCGGUGAAAUCAAUUUAAAAGAUAAAGAAUUUGAAAAUGAUUUUCAACCAAUUGAGCAAUCUUGUAAAUGUAUUACUUGUUGUAAUUAUACCAGAGCUUCACUGCAUGCACUACUUCAGGGUGAUUCUGUAGUUUGUAGCCUUUUGACUGUACAUAAUUUAUACCAACAUUUGAAACUCAUGAAGAAUAUUAGAGGUAGCAUCAUUAAGGGUUACUUUUCAGCUUUUGUAAAGGAGUUCCUACAGAACAUGUUUAUUGAUAAAAAAAUUGAUGAUUGGAUUAUUCAGUCCUUGGCAUCUGUUAACAUUUUGUUGUAAUUAAUGUUGUUAUACUUGCAGUAUAGGGUUUUGCCCUGUCCUAUGACCUUAGGUGUUGUUGGCAUAAUUUUUUAGUUAUAAGUUGCAUGCGGAUAUUGAA
rnacentral:lncRNA from 1 species